AUUGUUAUAGCGCAAGAUCACAACGACGACAAAGGGACAAGAAGAAGAUGAAAGGCGAAGUAGCGCUCAUCUUUUUCUUGUCCCUUUGUCGUCGUUCUGAUCUUGUGCUCUAACAACCGU
rnacentral:pre_miRNA from 1 species